rnacentral:tRNA from 1 species
AAAGGUAUUGCUCAAGUGGUAGAGUAUCUGCCUAGCAAGCAUGAAGUCCUGAGUUCAAAUCUUAGUACUUCCA